rnacentral:rRNA from 1 species
UACGUAGGGGGCUAGCGUUGUCCGGAAUUAUUGGGCGUAAAGAGCGUGUAGGCGGCCAGUCAGGUCCGUUGUGAAAACUCGAGGCUCAACCUCGAGACGCCGAUGGAAACCGACUGGCUAGAGUCCGGAAGAGGAGAGUGGAAUUCCCGGUGUAGCGGUGAAAUGCGCAGAUAUCGGGAAGAACACCCGUGGCUAAGGCGGCUCUCUAGUACGGUACUGACGCUGAGACGCGAAAGCGUGGGGAGCGAACAGG